UCCGUUGUGGUCUAGUUGGUCAGGAUAUUCGGCACUCACCCGAAAGACCCGGGUGCAAGUCCCGGCAACGGAA
rnacentral:tRNA from 1 species